rnacentral:rRNA from 1 species
CAGCAGCCGCGGUAAUACGGAGGGUGCAAGCGUUACUCGGAAUCACUGGGCGUAAAGGACGCGUAGGCGGAUUAUCAAGUCUCUUGUGAAAUCUAACGGCUUAACCGCUAAACUGCUUGGGAAACUGAUAAUCUAGAGUAAGGGAGAGGCAGAUGGAAUUCCUGGUGUAGGGGUAAAAUCCGUAGAUAUCAAGAAGAAUACCUAUUGCGAAGGCGAUCUGCUGGAACUUAACUGACGCUAAUGCGUGAAAGCGUGGGGGGCAAACAGGAUUAGAUACCCCCGUAGUCCCUGUCUCUUAUAC